rnacentral:rRNA from 1 species
UACGGAGGGUGCAAGCGUUAUUCGGAAUUACUGGGCGUAAAGCGCGUGUAGGCGGGAAGGUAAGUCUGAGGUGAAAUCCCUCGGCUCAACCGAGGAGCUGCCCGCCAAACUGAAGAGCUUGAGUCCGGGAGAGGUGAGUGGAAUUCCCAGUGUAGCGGUGAAAUGCGUAGAUAUUGGGAGGAACACCAGUGGCGAAGGCGGCUCACUGGACCGGAACUGACGCUGAGGCGCGAAAGCGUGGGGAGCAAACGGGAUUAGAUACCCUGGUAGU